GUUUGGGCAGUCCUGCUGCCGGCAGCAACCGGCUCCUGGUUUCCACCCGAGCACAUUCCUCUUCCCCUCACCCGCAGCAGCCGCUCCAUAGGAGCAGAUGGCUGACUUAGGUCAGUUUGCCUAACACAGGGAAGAGACAAUGCAAAAGCAGGAACGAGGAGGCUGAAGACGCACACCCAGAAACCUGACCACUUCACCAUGGUACCUGAAAAACCUCCACUUCAGGUAGCUACCGAUUUGCAACCAUGUUUUGGACACGAGGAGAGUCCCAGUGCAGCAGGAACAUUUCCAUGCCAGGAGAUACC